GAGAGCGCAAAAAAACAAGGAAGUUGAACGAAAGAACUUGGUGAUUGUCCCGUAAACGAUGAGUUGCGAAACGGGUGAGAAACAAGUAGGUAACCUGCCUCUUCAGCGGGGGAUAACUUUUGGAAACGAUAGCUAAUACCCGCAUAAAAGACGAUAUCGCAUGAUAUUGAUUUGAAAGGUGCAAAUGCAUCACUAAGAGAUGGACCUGCGUUGUAUUAGCUAGUUGGUGAGGUAACGGCUCACCAAGGCAACGAUACAUAGCCGACCUGAGAGGGUGAUCGGCCACACUGGGACUGAGACACGGCCCAGACUCCUACGGGAGGCAGCAGUAGGGAAUCUUCGGCAAUGGGGGCAACCCUGACCGAGCAACGCCGCGUGAGUGAAGGAGGUUUUCGGAUCGUAAAGCUCUGUUGUAAGAGAAGAACGAGUGUGAGAGUGGAAAGUCCACACUGUGACGGUAACUUACCAGAAAGGGACGGCUAACUACGUGCCAGCAGCCGCGGUAAUACGUAGGUCCCGAGCGUUAUCCGGAUUUAUUGGGCGUAAAGCGAGCGCAGGCGGUUAGAUAAGUCUGAAGUUAAAGGCUGUGGCUUAACCAUAGUACGCUUUGGAAACUGUUUAACUUGAGUGCAGAAGGGGAGAGUGGAAUUCCAUGUGUAGCGGUGAAAUGCGUAGAUAUAUGGAGGAACACCGGUGGCGAAAGCGGCUCUCUGGUCUGUAACUGACGCUGAGGCUCGAAAGCGUGGGGAGCAAACAGG
rnacentral:rRNA from 1 species